rnacentral:rRNA from 1 species
UACGGGGGGUGCGAACGUUGUUCGGAAUCACUGGGCGUAAAGAGCGCGUAGGCGGCCUUGUAAGCGGGGUGUGAAAUCCCCCGGCUCAACCGGGGAACUGCAUCCCAGACUGCAGGGCUUGAGGGCAGCAGAGGAAACGGGAAUUCCUGGUGUAGCGGUGAAAUGCGCAGAUAUCAGGAAGAACACCAAUGGCGAAAGCAGCUUUCUGGGACGGUACUGACGCUGAGACGCGAAAGCGUGGGGAGCGAACAGG